CCCAGUGGCAAUUACAGACCCUAAAACACAACCCACAUGGAUUCUAGCAGUUGUGGAGUUUUGGUAUUGAAUGUAUGUGUUCAAAUAUUUGCAAAAGUGGCUUCAGGUAUGAAAAUGUUAUACUGAAUUGGAUUAAUAUCGUCUGUCAAUUAAUGUUUCAGUUUGCUGAAGAAUACCUGCUGACAGGAACGAUCAGCCAAGUUCAGACUACAUCUGAAGCAGUCAGCUCAUCACGCGUGAAAAUAGCCUGCACACUUCUUAGAUGUCGAGGUAGUACUACUAAUGUGGAGGACUACUGUGUGGUUUGCAGCAUGCUGGAAAACGAUCCUAACAAAAGCAUGAUUAAAAUGUGUGAGAACUGCAAUAGAUGGGCACAUUUGAAUGUUGCAAAUUCAAAAAUAAAUAGCCUAAAUAUGUUUAUGUGCAAAAAAAUGUGUGGGGAACAAAUGAAUUAUUUAAAAUGGUUUAUGAGAGUAUUUACUUGUAUCACUUGAAACAUUCUGCAGCACUAAGUGGUCUUAUUUAGUACAUAUUUCUAGUAAUAAUAGCUGUUGUUUUGCAUAUUUUGUAUUCUGUACCUCUGUGUUUUAUGAUUUUGAACUUUUAAAAUGAAUUUAUGAAUUAAUUAAUUUUUCACUUUUUC
ensembl:lncRNA